GGAACCUUCAAUCAAGGUUACCAAAAGCUAGGAAGACAAGGUGAGGGGAAGAAGAAGAAGAAGAAGAAAAAAAAAGGAGAUGCAUUGUUUAGCAUUAGAAGCUACUCAUUGACCACCUUCAAGCUACUCAAGUGGGAAACACCAAGUGAUUGCUCCAUCACCUGCAAUUACUCUUGGAAUUCAGAACUCUCCUUCUAUGCAGCAUUCAGCGGCAUUAUUCUUUUUCCUAGGAGGGCUAGUUGUGCUUCUAAUAUUGCUGAUUCUCGUAUUUAUCUUCUGGAAAAUUAUCAAACCAGAAAAGCUGAAAAAGUCUGUAGGAUGUACUAAAGGGCAGCAGGGUUCAACUGAUUUCUUUAGUGGAAAUCUUUGAACCAUAAGCUAUUUUGACUUUCACAAAUUAAAGAACGCAACUAAAAAUUUUCACCACUGUAAUCUUCUUGGAAGAGGUGGUUUUGGUCCUGCUCUCGGGUAUUACUGCUUCUAAUGAAAACUUUGUCUGGGAAUUUCUAUUUCUAUUUUGUAUAAUCAGGAAAAAUCCUAAAGAUAGUGGCAAAACUCUUUGACGACCUCUACCUAUAUAUGUGAAGCGUCAAAAUGGAAUAUUGGAACUAACAAUGAAUGGGUCGAACAACAUUUAUCUACAAUUUGAGAUUAGGGAUUAUGAGAUGCAGGGGAUGGGCUAAAAUGUUGACUGUGGUAGAGGGAUGGGAUUUAAGGCAAAAAGAAACUUGAUUUAAGGAAGAAAGAACCUUACUAUAAGAAACGAAUUAGAACUGUAAGAGCUAAGAAGAAAAUUUUUUGUGUUCUUAAAUUUUAGGAAGACCAAGGACCUCUUAAGCCUAUAUGUAGGUUGGUUUUGAUUAAUGUCUUAGUGUAGAUGUUGCAAAAAAAUUGUUUAUAUGUGCUGGCCUCCUUUUGUGCGUAUUGCACCACCAAAUAUUCACCACUGACGGAUUAAGUCUUCAGAAGGGAUCUAAUUUCUUUUUAUU